ACGGUUCGGCGAUUCAUCUAGUCGGUGCGAAGUUAUUAAAGAAACGGACGUUUAGGCUUCGUUUCCGCCUGGAGGGCCGAGGCGACGUCGUAAAAUCAUGGAAUCGGAUUUGAGGCACCGUAACAACAAAACGAAGACCUUUGUUGCCCGAGGCUGCGAAGCAAUGCGCGGUUGGUGCGCAAUAGCAAGUUCCGACGGAACCGAGCACCGGAUGCUGCGGGAGGCCAAUUGCAAGUGUCGACAAGCAAUCCGAAUGCAAUAGCAGGUUUGCAUGUGAGCGGCGCGGCGGCGCGAGGCGAGGGCGUAGCUCCGCAGAUAGCGCCCUACCACCGUGACCAGAGAUAGCGGUACCCAAGUCAGCCAAGCUAGGGGUUGUAGAAAAGGAAAGAAAAAGGAUCAAACUUGUAAUAAUCUUGUGAUGAUUGAUUGUAUUCGGAAGUUUAAAUGUAUUUGAAAGGAAAAGAAAUGUAAAUAA